ACCUAUCUAAGAACGUCUUACUGAAUGGCACAUGGUUUGAUGCACAAUGCUUUUUUAUAUGAAGCACUGAAACUGUGGAUAUGCAACUUCACAUGCGUGUUAGAGGUUCCCCACACCUCUCUGUACAUUAAAUAAUCACUGCACUUUUGCAGGGGACUGAAAACAGGACAGGAGAAUGUAUCUUUCUGUUUUCUUUUCAGUUGAUCAACUUUUCUGGAAACCGUGAUGAAUUGCUCACCAGUUCAGACAACGCACCCUUUUAUUUCCCCUGAUUCAGACAGCAACAGGAAGGCAGGAAAGCAGGUUGCCACAUGGGGCUUGGAAGAACUGACUGUCUUGCUAGGGUGCGGCUGGAUAUCAGACCUCAGGUUGCUCUCUAAGGCAAAACAGUGUUACCUGCUCAUCACACAUUGCAUGGUUGACCUCUUACCACAAGUGAGGACAGCUCUUGCCAGAAAUGGAACCAGAAGAAUCUCGGUACAAAAUAAGAAAUCUGUCUAGAGGAUAAGUAAAUGUUGGCCAUUAUUGAUAGCCAGUCAUGGUGAGGUCAUCACGGAUCCAUUCUGUUCAGAUAAGUUAUGCUGCUUUGUUGUCACAUUCUGACCUACGGGUGAGCACAAAGUAGCAGCUGCGACCCUACCAAUUAGAUGGAGGUAGAGCUGCUGGGGGUAUCAGAUAGAAGGAUUAAGAAACCCCGUGGAGAAAGCCAGCAAUUAUCCAUGAGUGUCACAAAGACAGAGGUGAUCAGAGGAACUGCUUCUGUGGAGGGAACGAAACACAAGCUGCAGCCAAGAGCAGAGAGUGGAAGCAGAAUUAAAAGGACCUGCAGCAAGUCCGUGUCCUGCAGGCUGUGCCUAACAUGAUGUCUUCUGUACACCUGCCUUCUGCUGAGCUGAGCUCUCAGAUGAAGAGUUCGAAAUUAGAGUUGCCAGAAGAAGCAACCGUUCUGAGCGUUGAGGAAAAGCCUAUCUCCCUGAAGUCGCCUAGCACUGAUUUCACACUCUGGCUAUCCUGUAUUUGCUGUAAUGGGGGAAAAAAAUAAUUUUUUCAAGUGCAAGACAGAUGAGCUUGAUGCAGAUACAUCUCAAAGUUGGAGUGUACGAUGCCUCUUGAUCAACUUCUGAGCCAGCCUUUCUGCCUGGAUCUUUACAGUCUAUCUCUGUCCAGGGAAUACAACAACAAAACUUUGCCAUGAGAGAGCCUACAAGCUGGGAAGGUACCUCGCACGGAAGCAGCUGCCCUGAGGAGCACUCAUGAGAAUGCCUGCCCUGGGCAUGGUAGGACUGCAAGAUCUGAGAUAAGGCUUCAACACCGUUGCUAACUGGAGAAAUACUCUUUCCAACAGCUGCUCAAUCCAGAUUUCAGCAUCCAUUCCAGCUACUGAUAAUUUUAUCCUCAGUAUAGCUUUAAUUAACUGUGUUGUACACCAUAGUAGAUCUACCUUGUUAAACUGCUGCUCUUUGUUUCAGUGGAAAUGCUAUAAGAGACAGAUAAAAUAAUUUUGUUACGUGGUUACGAGGCUCUCAAUUUGUUAAAUUUGCCAGCUGCUGUGGGAGCCUAUGGGAUGGAAGGUAUCAUAUAAAUACAAAAAAGUGCUAUUAUUUACCUGAAUGACUCUAUUCUCUCCCCCUAUCCGCCCUAACCCCCCUUUUUUAAAUAUACUUAUUUUUUAUAUUUCUUUCCUGCAUUUUGUUCUCUAUUUGGAUGGUUUCUUCAAGUCCCCAGGUGGAACUACAAUCAUAAGUUCUCUAAACUCAGGUAUCAACAGCCCUCACAUUUUUCUGACCUUUGUUAGGCAGUUAUUUACCUGACCUGCUUUGCUUGUUAUUCAAUCUUUCUGUCUUCUGCAAUUAAUUCCAAGGCAAUUUGAACUUCAAAUGCUUUUCACUCAAGCUGAGUUUAAGCAUGUAAAUUUGGAUCACUGUGCUUAGGGAGUCCAGUUUGUCUUCUUGCACUCAACAGAUACACUGUUUUUCUCCAUGUCCAAGGAUUAAUUACAAACAGCUGAAAUAGAAAUUCCUGAAGAAAGACUAAUCCUGAUGCGGAUGCAUGGAAGAGAGAUAUGAGGCAGCAGUCCAGUAAACCUCCAGCUUGAGGCUUAGUUGCAUUUAAAUGCCAUAAUUCCUGGAGCCAACUCAAACUAUCAAUCAGAAUCCUGUCAGUCUAAACAAGUCUGAAGCUUGAAAAUUUUGCUUUCUUUGGCAUUUAAUUUUCCCUUGGAAUCCAAAUCUCAGCUUUAGUUAGAUUUUCUCAUGCAAAAAGGGUUACAUUCAUGUCCAGCUUUGAGAUGUAUUGUGGUAGUGUUCUGAUCUCUGAGAAGUUUGAGCUCCAGCUUGUAGACAUAAGAAUGAGCAGAGCCAGCCAUUCUCAGAAGGGUCACUAGAACCAUUUCACAUGUCUCUCAUCAGUUUACAAAGCAUCACUUCCUUAUUUCUUUAAGUAAGGACAAAGGAAAUCCAGCUGUGGAUGUUAGGGGGCUUAGCAUUUCUUUUUAAAAGAUAUUGAAAAAAUAUUAGUGGUAAAAUAUACCAUUGUUAAGUAACUAUGGAUCUAAGAUUCCCAAACUUCAAAGACACUGUAUAGUACUUAUGAAACUAUGUAGUUUUUCAUCUGAAAGCCAGUGCUUCGGGCAAAGGUUGCAAGAUUAGCAAAAAAAAAAAAAAUCAUAAUUGAUCAAAUAUCCACAAUAGAACAUAACGUAAUUGUAAAGGCAAAAAAAUUUAUCAAACGGGUCACAUCAACAAGGUAAUAGAGAUAUCUAAUGGACAAAGAAGGAACAAAAACAGAUGCGUAGCUGUUAAGGCCUCUAAAAUAUGUGCCAUGUGGUUGAUUUGAGUGCAGAGUAUACAAAGUGGUGUCAAGAUCUAUAGUUUGCCUUCAAACUGGUUCAUGACCAGUAGAUGACAGAGAGUAAGUCAAUAAGUGAACCUGAAAAAUUAAGCAUCAAGAUGCCAAGAGCAAGAGCAAGACGGCAGCUAAUAAUGAUCUCUUGUUUUUACUGGGUAUCUUUAAAGGAGGGAGUGGAACUCACCAAGCCAAAUAGUUAAAUGGAAAUAUGGUACUUCAACAAGUAAUGGGAACAAAAGAUGAAAUCAAUAAUCAAUACAUAGCGCUAUUGUCCAGAAAUUUACAUAAGAAAAUCAAACCAUAUUUUUGUCUUUUAUGUUACAAUGUAUAAUUCUAUAUUAUAUAGGCACUUUUGUGUGUGUGUGUGUCCCUCCAAUGAAGUUCAUUCCUUCUGUUUUGACACAAUGUUCAUUUCAUUGUAACAUAUUAAUCAC